rnacentral:rRNA from 1 species
GACGAACGCUGGCGGCGUGCUUAACACAUGCAAGUCGAACGGAAAGGCCCCUUCGGGGGUCCUCGAGUGGCGAACAGGUGAGUAACACGUGAGUAACCUGCCCUUGACUUCGGGAUAACUUCAGGAAACUGGGGCUAAUACCGGAUAGGAAUCCUUGCUGCAUGGUGGGGGUUGGAAAGCUUCGGCGGUUUUGGAUGGACUCGCGGCCUAUCAGCUUGUUGGUGGGGUAGUGGCUUACCAAGGCUUUGACGGGUAGCCGGCCUGAGAGGGCGACCGGCCACAUGGGGCCUGGGUUACGGCCCGAACUCCACCGGGGGGAAGAGGUGGGGAUAUUGGCCCAAUGGGGGGAGGCCGAUGGAAGCAAGGCCGGGGGGGGGUUGACGGCUUUCGGUUGGUAACCCGCUUUCGCCGGGGCGGAGCCUGGUGUUGCCGUUACUUGAAGAGGAAGCACCGCUUACUACGUG